CGCACCCACCAGCCACCACCAGCACGGGAGGAGACCGAUCGACUCGGCCCGGCCGACGCCUCAGCUUCAGCUUCAGCUCUGCCUCUGCUUGCGUUGCGUUGCGUUGCGUUGCGUGUGGAGUGGCCGCCCGCAAGAUAGGUAGGAGACGUGUGUGUAUAUGAGAUCCCCAUCCAACGGCCGGCCUCCAAGCGCAGGGGGCGGAGCACCACCAGCAGCAGCAGCAGACGACGACGACUUCGCCUUCUACUGCUCGUUCCUCCAGGACGCCGCCCCGGCCUCAGCGACGUCGCCGCUCGCCCUCGCCCUCGACCUCGACCUAGACGACCCCAACCCCACCGCCGCCGGGAUGACCAACGGCCGGCGCCGGAGGCAGCGCGGGGCAGCAGACGAAUCCGGAGCCGCCGC
rnacentral:lncRNA from 1 species